UCAGAUUUAUGGGGCAGUCGGGUGUCAGACUCUCAACUUGAAAGGGAUUUGGGCUUUCUAAGGGGUUAGGGAGGUGGUCAGGGGAGCAAUGGUGGACUCUCUCUAAGCACCUAAUACCCAGUACUGGGCCUCUAGUCCAGCACAGCCACCUUAUUCUGGUCUCAUACACCUCGGACCCUCUGGACAUUACCGACACCGGCCCGGUCUGGCUCCGAUAGCCGCAGUGUGGAUGGCAGCAGCAGCGAGGUUAGAGUGCCCUUACCGACGCCCACACAGCCACAUGCCACGCUCCGGCGUGCAGACACCCAGGCACAGGAUGAGCCAACAGAACAUCUGACCAUGAAGCUUGCCAGGCUGUGGAUCCUCCAGCCCUGCAAUCGCAGAAAACCAUUCUCCAUCCAUAUUAAAGCACAGCCCUCUCCAUCACUGGUGCCCCUGACAACACAGGAAAUUGAUCCCACCCGACAGCAGACUCAGCCUACACACUGUUUAUCUCCACAAUUAUCCCCCAUUCAUUCACAGGCUUAUAAGGUAAACUGCCAUUCAGCGAUGUGAAACCACGGGUCUGGCCUGGCAAUUUGAUGUAAUUGUGCCACUGUGAUCAUCUGUAGUAGGAGCUAGGCACAUCAUUUAUUGUGGCAUUCUAUUGGAGGGAGAAAAUUAGAAUGAAUGAGUCUUUGAUUUUGGGAGAGGGACAAUUGUGUAGUAUAAUGUGGCUGAGAUCAAACAAAAUGGAGGUAGAUAUAG